GCGGGUGUGGCGAAGUGGUUAACGCAUCGGAUUGUGGUCCCGACACUGGGGGGUUCGUUCCCCAUCAACCGCC
rnacentral:tRNA from 1 species